AUUGAACGCUGGCGGCAUGCCUUACACAUGCAAGUCGAACGGCAGCACGGGAGCAAUCCUGGUGGCGAGUGGCGAACGGGUGAGUAAUAUAUCGGAACGUGCCCAGUCGUGGGGGAUAACGUAGCGAAAGCUACGCUAAUACCGCAUACGAUCUAUGGAUGAAAGCGGGGAUCGCAAGACCUCGCGCGAUUGGAGCGGCCGAUAUCAGAUUAGGUAGUUGGUGGGGUAAAAGCCUACCAAGCCUUCGAUCUGUAGCUGGUCUGAGAGGACGACCAGCCACACUGGAACUGAGACACGGUCCAGACUCCUACGGGAGGCAGCAGUGGGGAAUUUUGGACAAUGGGCGCAAGCCUGAUCCAGCAAUGCCGCGUGCAGGAUGAAGGCC
rnacentral:rRNA from 1 species